rnacentral:rRNA from 3 species
AUUUCUUCGGAGAGUUUGAUCCUGGCUCAGGAUGAACGCUGGCGGCGUGCCUAAUACAUGCAAGUCGAGC